rnacentral:rRNA from 1 species
UACGUAGGUGGCAAGCGUUGUCCGGAUUUACUGGGCGUAAAGAGCGCGCAGGCGGUCGUUCAAGUCGCGUGUGAAAGCCCCCGGCUCAACUGGGGAGGGUCACGCGAUACUGAUCGACUCGAAGGCAGGAGAGGGUAGUGGAAUUCCCGGUGUAGUGGUGAAAUGCGUAGAUAUCGGGAGGAACACCAGUGGCGAAGGCGACUACCUGGCCUGUUCUUGACGCUGAGGCGCGAAAGCUAGGGAAGCAAACGGG